rnacentral:misc_RNA from 1 species
GCUACUACCGAUUGAAUGGUUUAGUGAGGACUCCUGAUUGGCGCCGCCGCCCCGGCAACGGAGCAGCGGACUGCCGAAAAGUUGUUCGAACUUGAUCAUUUAGAGGAAGUAAAAGUCGUAACAAGGUUUCCGUAGGUGAACCUGCAGAAGGAUCAGCUACUACCGAUUGAAUGGUUUAGUGAGGACUCCUGAUUGGCGCCGCCGCCCCGGCAACGGAGCAGCGGACUGCCGAAAAGUUGUUCAAACUUGAUCAUUUAGAGGAAGUAAAAGUCGUAGCAAGGUUUCCGUAGGUGAACCUGCAGAAGGAUCA